CCUACGGGAGGCAGCAGUGAGGAAUAUUGGUCAAUGGACGAGAGUCUGAACCAGCCAAGUAGCGUGAAGGAUGACUGCCCUAUGGGUUGUAAACUUCUUUUAUAUGGGAAUAAAAUGUUCCACGUGUGGGAUUUUGUAUGUACCAUAUGACUAAGGAUCGGCUAACUCCGUGCCAGCAGCCGCGGUAAUACGGAGGAUCCGAGCGUUAUGCGGAUUUAGUGGGUUUAAAGGGAGCGUAGGUGGAUUGUUAAGUCAGUUGUGAAAGUUUGCGGGUCAACCGUAAAAUUGCAGUUGAAACUGGCAGUCUUGAGUACAGUAGAGGUGGGCGGAAUGCGUGGUGUAGCGGUGAAAUGCUUAGAGAUCACGAAGAACUCCGAUUGCGAAGGCAGCUCACUGGACUGCAACUGACACUGAGGCUCGAAAGUGUGGGUAUCAAACAGGAUUAGAGACCCGGGUAGUC
rnacentral:rRNA from 1 species